AGUGAACGCUGGCGGUAGGCCUAACACAUGCAAGUCGAACGGCAGCGCAGUAAGUGCUUGCUCUUACGGGUUGCGAGUGGCGGACGGGUGAGGAAUACAUCGGGCUCUACUUUUUCGGGGGGGAUAACGUAGGGAAACUUACGCUAAUACCGCAUACGACCUACGGGUGAAAGCAGGGGAUCUUCGGACCUUGCGCGAUUGGAUGAGCCGAUGUCGGAUUAGCUAGUUGGCGGGGUAAAGGCCCACCAAGGCGGCGAUCCGUAGCUGGUCUGAGAGGAUGUACAGCCACACUGGAGCUGAGACACGGUACAGAGUCCUACGGGAGGCAGAAGUGGGGAAUGGUGGACAAUGGGCGGAAGCCUGCUCCAUCGAUACCGCGUGGGUGAAGCAGGCCUUCGGGGUGUAAAGACCUUUUGUGGGGGUAGAAAAGCAGCAGGUUAAUACCACGCUGUUCUGACGGUACCCAAAGAAGAAGCACCGGCUAACUUCGUG
rnacentral:rRNA from 1 species